rnacentral:rRNA from 1 species
AUUGAACGCUGGCGGCAUGCCUUACACAUGCAAGUCGAACGGUAACAGGUCUUCGGAUGCUGACGAGUGGCGAACGGGUGAGUAAUACAUCGGAACGUGCCUAGUAGUGGGGGGUAACUACUCGAAAGAGUGGCUAAUACCGCAUGAGAUCUACGGAUGAAAGCAGGGGAUCGCAAGGCCUUGUGCUACUAGAGCGGCCGAUGGCAGAUUAGGUAGUUGGUGGGAUAAAAGCUUACCAAGCCGACGAUCUGUAGCUGGUCUGAGAGGACGAUCAGCCACACUGGGACUGAGACACGGCCCAGACUCCUACGGGAGGCAGCAGUGGAGAAUUUUGGACAAUGGGCGCGAGCCUGAUCCAGCAAUGCCGCGUGCAGGAUGAAGGCCUUCGGGUUGUAAACUGCUUUUGUACGGAACGAAAAGCCCCGGGUUAAUACCCUGGGGUCAUGACGGUACCGUAAGAAUAAGCACCGGCUAACUACGUGCCAGCCGCCGCGGUAA